UACCGAAAAGUUUUUGGCCAGACACUAGGAAUAAUCAUUUGCAAGGUGACAAUGACCCAAUACUCCGAGGCUUCCGAUAAGUGCGUUCGACUACUCCUUCGCCUCCUUGCGUCGCUUUUCUCAUUACUGAGGGUCGUGACUCCGUCGCUGCAUCAUUCUUUCAUGCACCUCCCAUCGAUCCUUGGCUUCGUGGAGGGCAUCGUGGGACUGCGUCCUCUUGGACGUUUGCCCUCUAUCUUCUUCGACUACUAUGUAUUUCAUAUUUACGCUAGAUACGUAAGCGGUUUAAAUAUUGUUACCGAAUCCUGGCAACCCCCGACCGAGAGCCAGCGCUAAAACUAUAAAAACGAUCCCUCGCUGCGCCUUUGCCUCUUUUUUGUGCGUGGCGUUCGUGAGUGCGGUUCUUGUUGAAACAUGUCCGAGACUUGUGUAAUUUUAACAGUUUUCGUUAAUAGUAAAUUGAAAUCAUUUUGUUAGAAGUUUUGUUAAUUCAGUGAAAUAUAAUUAGGCCAGUUCUGUGUUAUUUAUUUCUUUUUGUUAACUACCUCACUUCUGGUCGAUAAUAUCAGAAGUGGGAUAAAACCACGUGCUUUUGAAAAGUGACGGGACGUCGAUGUAGAAAAUACAGGCGCGAUCAUUCUCAUCGACGCUGUCAUGACCGCUCGAAUUCUUGAUUUAGGAGUUUGUUGCAAUUAUCAUCGUCGCGAUCGUGCUGUGUGUAGGAAGAGCAAGACACCUACGCCGCAGGAUGUCUCCUGGCAUAGUUCCGUGGAAUCGUUGUUUAGAACAUAAUUAUACUCGUGAGAUCGUGAGAUUAAUGACCACUUUACCGGUACCGUCUAAUCGCAAUACGCUGUCGCACUCUUGUACCGAACGCCACGCGCAGUUAUUUUUGCCACCAGCAGCAACGAUUUCCGUCGAAGGGGGUGACGCAUGUGCACCUGAAUACCCUGGAACAGCGUCAUGCAAAUCGGCGGGUGUGUGUAGUAGUGCUGGUCAGCAGAUGGACGGCGUGACGAACAGGAUUAUUGGAGCAUUGCAGGUGCUAUCUAAACUUUGACAAUGGAGGCGCCUUCUGUCUGAUUUGUUCACAGAUGCAGGGCGUUGUCGCCGACGUGUAAGGUCAGUAGCGAGUCGGCGCCGUGCUCCAGCAGGAGAGCGCAGAGCCGUGCAGACUGCACGUGUUGCUCGCGUGCCGGUACCUGCGCGCGCUCAUCUACUUCUGGCGCGCAUACUGCGCGCACUGCUCGCGUACCGCUGGCUGCGCGCACUGCUCGCGUGCCGCUGGCUGCGCACACUGCUCGCGUGCCGCUGGCUGCGCGCACUGCUCGCGUGCCGCUGGCUGCGCACACUGCUCGCGUGCCGCUGGCUGCGCGCGCUCGCCUGCUUCAGACGUGCAUACUGCACGUGUUGCUCGCGUGCCGCUGCAUGCGCGCGCUCACCUACUUCUGACGUGCAUACUGCACGUGUUGCUCGCAUGCCGCCGACUGCACGGUGCUGUACGACUGGCAGUGACGCAGAGGGCGAUGUCGCUUAGUCUGCGGCCUGCUACUGCGGACUACCCAACGGAUUAUCUAUCAGGACGGUCGAGCGGGACGCCCGCCACACGUGGUGCAGCCUCGCAUCGUGGGAGCAGACUGGAGCUGGGACGGCUGCCCUGCUUCCACAUCAUCCUUACGAGUGGACCCCGGUGACAUGCAGCCUUUUCUUCGAAAUUAAUAUGUGAAGGUCGAGGUGGGCACUUCGGUGCUUUACUUCCCAUUUUUGAGGUUGAGGUGGGCACGACGGUGCUUUACUUCCCAUUUUUGAGGUUGAGGUGGGCACGACGGUGCUUUACUUCCCGUUUAUUUUUUGAGCAGUAUGGUUAGAUGCGGAUUCGGCCGGAUUUUGCGUCCCUACUGUUUAGCUGUGUUGUGUCGGCAAUGUUCAGUAUCUGUAUCGGUGAAUAUUGCCGACAACAGCGCGCUACUGUUUUAGACGUUUCCUAUACGGGCUAACUCAGUAAAGGAAUCGUGCAGGUGUCUCAAAUUGCGCAGUUUGGGACAGUUGUGCGAUAUCCAUUCUUCUCACUUCAAAUGUUUAUCUUUGGCUCGUCCUCGCUGCAGAUGUAAGAGUGCACGCUUGCGUCUGUAGUGGGGAUUCUAAAUUUUAGAAAGUUUUAGAGCAUUAAGGUCUGGGUGUAUUUUUUUUUGUUACGUUACAGAGGGUGACCUUGUUGAUGCAAGCUCUGACGUAGCUGGAAGAGAUAUGCUUCUGCUGAGAGAUGAAGCGGUCGAGGACGCCUCGCCGUCAGGAACGGCCGUGUUACCGAAUCCUGGCAACCCCCGACCGAGAGCCAGCGCUAAAACUAUAAAAACGAUCCCUCGCUGCGCCUUUGCCUCUUUUUUGUGCGUGGCGUUCGUGAGUGCGGUUCUUGUUGAAACAUGUCCGAGACUUGUGUAAUUUUAACAGUUUUCGUUAAUAGUAAAUUGAAAUCAUUUUGUUAGAAGUUUUGUUAAUUCAGUGAAAUAUAAUUAGGCCAGUUCUGUGUUA